GGGUGCUGAGUCUCAGUUUUAGUACUUCUUAAUCCUUCAACGUUCCCAACUUCAUUUCUACUAUUAAGAAUAAAAGAAGCCCCCGCUGCCUCCUGAAGUCUUCCUGUGAGUGGAAUAGUCUUCAUCAUUUAUAGUUUAUGCAGCACUUUCACAUGUCUGAGAACCUGCACAGGCCACUUCAAGUGGUAAGAAAAACAAAGCUCUUGGAAACAAGGUCAAAUCUAGAGUCGGAGUCUCUGGGUCUGCCCAAGAGAGCUGACGAGGAGAAGAUGACUGAGCAUUUACGCUUAAAGGAGGGUGAAGGUCUGAGACGGGAUUUGCAGCCGUUGAAUAAUAACCAGAAAGGGAGAUUAACCAGCACUGAGGGUGCUUCCCUUGACCAGAAAUGCAAUACAUCCAGCCAGCCAAUCCCCAAACGCCAAGCCAGCUCUGUGCUCUUUACUUACGUCCUUGCUCCUUCUCACCCCAAUCAAGUUUGACUAUGUGGCCCCAGCCAACCAGGCUUGUAUGAACCAGGAGAAGAAUCAGCAUUCCAUUCGCAACUGACUUCUUUUCUGUGACUUGUGGACUGCUAGAAGAUGCUCAAGAAAACAAGAACAGGGAAUUGAAAACGGCAAUUAACACACUGUGAGGGAAGUCAAGUCAACCACCUAAAGCAAAGGCUCUAGUACUCUCUAAAGGAGCUAAAUACGUGGUGAAGAAAGCAGAGGAACUCAGCUCUGCUUGAAUAGGCAAAAACCAACCAGACGUCGAUGAAAAUAAUCCAUAAGCAACCUAUAAAUGAAAAUUGGCAUGAAUUUCAUAUGAACCAGAUCUGAGGACUAGCUUAGACCAGGGCCUUCCUUCCCCAAAGAAGGAAGGGCACCAAAGAAGUGGGAUGUGCAGAGUGGUUAUAUACUCUCAAAGAGGAUGUUUCACAUAGGAUUGAAAUGUCCCUUUUACAAUAGUCACAAGACUGCUCUGUCAGCACAGUGGUUGACGGACACAGCAGGUAGUAGGUCUGCUGUCUUGGUGGACACAGCAGGGUAGCAGGGCUGUUUUCUCAAGCUGGGUGGUCAGAGGCGAGCAGAGCAAUCAGUUCCUAGCCUAGGGAGAGAUGCCUAUCCUUAAGGAAAUGCCAACAUGGGGGAAGUUGCAUCUUUAUCUUAAGGGCAUUUGUUCUUGUCUUUGGGACACAGCAGAUGCUUAAAGCAGAUAUACAACUAUACAAUGCAUGCUCACUGGCCAUGUCAGGCCCUUUGGGAAAAACAAGGUCAGGUUGAAUUAGGUUUACAUCAAAUGGCUUCCUCAUAUACUCCAGUAUAUCCUGUUGCUCACCAUUUGUUUGUCACAGAAACCAAAAACUCAUCCCUUUUAAAUAAAUUUUAUUUCAUUCAUUAAAACAGUAUGUAUCUACAUAAAGAUUGCUAAAUACAUGCAAGAGUUGUUAUUUAUUCGGUGCACGGCUCAUUCUUGAUGCAGGUAUGGAUUCCCGGCCCCCUCGCUGCUACAUUGUGCUAUGUCCUCCUCUUACCCCCCAUCCCCAGAAGUAGGGAAAUACUUCUAAAGAUUUAUGAUGAUACUUUGAAAAACCUAUUUCCA
ensembl:lncRNA